UCUGUCUUCCCCAAAUGCUCAAUAAAUGUUUGUUGACUGAAUACGGAAGUGAGAAAAAUCCCAAAACUUAUAAACUAAAUCCUGGAUAAACAAAUAAAGAGGGUAUUCAUGAAUUAAUGGAUGUCUGAUCCAUUAUUUAUUAUCAAAGAAAAUCCAGAAAUGUUUGGGUCACACUCGCUUUUUUCUUUCUUUUUUUUUUUGAGACGCAGUCUGGCUCUGUCCCCCAGGCUGGAGUGCAACUCAGUCUCAAAAAAAAGAAUGAAAAAAUCCUGUGUUGGUCUCUCUGUGCCAAUGAACUCUCCACCUGCAACCAUCUCUGAGGGCAAGCCUUUUCUCUGACCCAUGUUGAUGUAAUGUGAUGAUAACAAUGUUUAUAUAUAGUAACAGCUAACACUUAUGUAGCCUUUGCUACAUGCCAACAAC
rnacentral:lncRNA from 1 species